GGGCCGGGGGAGCAGGGUGAUUGUUCCGCCUGAAAAGCGGAAGGUCGGCAGUUCGACCCUGCCCCUGACCACCA
rnacentral:tRNA from 1 species